rnacentral:lncRNA from 1 species
GAAGAUAAAAAAAAAAGAAUAAAUAGGUUAUGUGGGGGUGGGAGAAUAAAAUUAUAAAAUUGUAUUUCUAAAUAUAAAUUUUUGCUAAAGGAUAAAAUUGGAAUAGAAAAAAAUAGAGCAAAGGGUAAAAAUGGAAUGGGGGGUGGGGGUUGGAAUUGGGGAGGUACAGGGAGUAACCCCCAAUCAGAUAUUCUUGAUUAUUCAUUAAUUAUUGUCUUCUGUUGGAUCUUUUGGCCCAAUAACUUAAACACUGACCCAACUUCAAUCCAUUAUUAAUAAAAACCUUUUACUUGAUUGACCGACACUUUUACUCUGGGUGGAUCAAAUGACUUUGGAUUACAA